rnacentral:rRNA from 1 species
AUUCUGCAUGGCUGUCGUCAGCUCGUGUUGUGAAAUGUUGGGUUAAGUCCCGCAACGAGCGCAACCCUUAUCCUUUGUUGCCAGCGGUCCGGCCGGGAACUCAAAGGAGACUGCCAGUGAUAAACUGGAGGAAGGUGGGGAUGACGUCAAGUCAUCAUGGCCCUUACGAGUAGGGCUACACACGUGCUACAAUGGCGCAUACAAAGAGAAGCGACCUCGCGAGAGCAAGCGGACCUCAUAAAGUGCGUCGUAGUCCGGAUUGGAGUCUGCAACUCGACUCCAUGAAGUCGGAAUCGCUAGUAAUCGUGGAUCAGAAUGCCACGGUGAAUACGUUCCCGGGUCUUGUACACACCG